rnacentral:rRNA from 1 species
CAGCAGCCACGGGAAUACAGAGGGUGCGAGCGUUAAUCGGAUUUACUGGGCGUAAAGCGUGCGUAGGCGGCUUUUUAAGUCGGAUGUGAAAUCCCUGAGCUUAACUUAGGAAUUGCAUUCGAUACUGGGAAGCUAGAGUAUGGGAGAGGAUGGUAGAAUUCCAGGUGUAGCGGUGAAAUGCGUAGAGAUCUGGAGGAAUACCGAUGGCGAAGGCAGCCAUCUGGCCUAAUACUGACGCUGAGGUACGAAAGCAUGGGGAGCAAACAGUAUUAGAUACCCCUGUAGUCCCUGUCUCUUAUAC